CCUCGCUAGUAGGGAGGGAAAAUUGAAAGUUAAAAUGUGACAAAGAAUGUUAGAGAAAGUGUGGCCCCGGACAGCAGGUGGCCCGGCUGGCAACAGGGAUGAACAUCUGUAAGAAACUGUGAAGUUAGAGCUUAAAGACUGUGGGCAUCAGAACUCCUAUGAUGUUGAAGGGGGGG